GAUGAACGCUGGCGGCGUGCCUAAUACAUGCAAGUCGAGCGAACAGACGAGGAGCUUGCUCCUCUGACGUUAGCGGCGGACGGGUGAGUAACACGUGGAUAACCUACCUAUAUGACUGGGAUAACUUCGGGAAACCGGAGCUAAUACCGGAUAAUAUAUUGAACCGCAUGGUUCAAUAGUGAAAGACGGUUUUGCUGUCACUUAUAGACGGAUCCGCGCCGCAUUAGCUAGUUGGUAAGGUAACGGCUUACCAAGGCAACGAUGCGUAGCCGACCUGAGAGGGUGAUCGGCCACACUGGAACUGAGACACGGUCCAGACUCCUACGGGAGGCAGCAGUAGGGAAUCUUCCGCAAUGGGCGAAAGCCUGACGGAGCAACGCCGCGUGAGUGAUGAAGGUCUUCGGAUCGUAACACUCUGUUAUUAGGGAAGAACAAAUGUGUAAGUAACUAUGCACGUCUUGACGGUACCUAAUCAGAAAGCCACGGCUAACUACGUG
rnacentral:rRNA from 1 species